GUGAAAAAAAAAAAUCUUAGUCUCUCUAUCUGUGAAAGUAUGAAGUGUGUGUGUGUGUGUGUGUGUGUGUGUGUGUGUGUGUGUGUGUGUGUUCGCCACUACACGCCGCUCGGUUUUCACGCUCCCACUCUCCACUGCUCACCUAACUCGCUGCGGUGUGAUCACGGACCAUGAUGCAUUUCACCGCACUGAUUUGCAUGGCACCUUCCGAUUGGCCCGAGGAAACGCUGGAUCCUGCGACCUGAAAGUGUGAAGUGGUACAGAAUAUACUGUACGUUACACCUUCCAGGUCGGGACGGCUCACGCUCUCGUUUCGAUUCAGCGUUCAGACCAGCCGCCGUCUCCGGGGAAGAAAGAAUAAUAAUAAUAAUAAGAAUAAUAAUAAUAAACAUUGUAGUUUAAAGCGUGUCCAUUUAAAUAAGUCUGUUAGCAGUGGAUAGUGUGUGUGGAUGGAUGGAUGGAUGGAUGGAUGGAUACGAAGUACAUUGUUGGAAAUUUGCAACAUCAUAUGAAAACCCAAGAAAAUAAACAGUGUGUGUAUGUAUGUAUUUAUUUAUUUAUUUCUGGGGUUGGAUUUGUUUUAAUAUUUCAGAUCUGGCCUCCUCUUCACUACACACACUCGCUGCACGGGGUCCACGUCAGAUUGAUUUAUCCAGAUGCGCUUUAUUCUUUUAGCCGAAAAAAAAAAAAAAGAGAAGAGGAUCACGGGAUCUUAAACAAUCCCAUUUGUUUCGUCUCGGAAUACGCGAGCGUCCCGCGACCCGAGACCCCUGACGGACGCGAAAGGAAGCGGGCUGUAAAAGUCGAAAGGGACGCGAUCGGAUCUGAUCUCGGCGGAAUGGAAGUCGAAGCGCGAGGGUGUGUAAAGAUCCCCCACUUCGUAUUCCAGAUUAAGGUCUGAAUGGCAGCGUAAUGCGUUUGCUCUGUGGUCCAUGGCAGCGCCGCUGACCCCCCUGCGUCUGCCUCUCCGGGGGUCUUUCACCUCAACAUUUACAACCAGCGGAGUGUGUCUGAAAGUGUGUGUGUGUGUGUGUGUGUGUGUGUGUGUGUGUGUGUGUGUGUGUGUACAUCAGGUAUACACAACCUGUUGUUUAAAGUUAUACAAAAAUCAUGAGGACGUUUUUCUCCCCGCUUUAGUUUUUGCUUGUUUUUUAAUAUAUUUACCUGAUGAUACACAACUCCGCCUCUAAACUUUAGGCCACGCCUCCUACCUGAGUCUGACCCCGGUGCUCGGUGACUAAUCCGUGGCUAGAGUCACACCAUUUCGUCCUUUUAAAAAUAAUAAUAAUAAUAAU
ensembl:lncRNA